AUUGAACGCUAGCUGCAGGCCUAACACAUGCAAGUCGAGCGCGCGGCGGACGGGUGAGUAAUAUAUGUGUCUCUGCCCGAUUGUGGUGGAUAACUACUUGUAACGGUGGCUAAUACCGCCUACUAUCGGAUGGACCCAGAUGGGAUUCGCUAGGGGGUUGGUUAAAGGAUCGCCUAGGCGACGAUCUCUAGCUGGUCUGAGAGGAUGAUCAGCCACACGGGGACUGAGACACGGCCCAGACUCCUACGGGAGGUAGCGGUGGGGAAUAUUGCACAAGGGGAGCAAGCCUGAUGCAGCCAUGCCGAGUGUAUGAAGAAGGCCUGAGGGUUGUAAAGUACUUUCAGCGGGGAGGCGUUACCCGAAGAAGAAGCACCGGCUAACUCCGUGCCAGCAGCCGCGGUAAUAC
rnacentral:rRNA from 1 species